rnacentral:rRNA from 1 species
UACGGAAGGCAGCAGUGGGGAAUAUUGCACAAUGGGCGCAAGCCUGAUGCAGCCAUGCCGCGUGUAUGAAGAAGGCCUUCGGGUUGUAAAGUACUUUCAGUCGUGAGGAAGGUGUUAAGGUUAAUAACCUUAGCAAUUGACGUUAGCGGCAGAAGAGGCACCGGCUAACUCCGUGCCAGCAGCCGCGGUAAUACGGAGGGUGCGAGCGUUAAUCGGAAUUACUGGGCGUAAAGGGCACGCAGGCGGUUAAUUAAGUUGGAUGUGAAAUCCCCGGGCUUAACCUGGGAAUGGCAUUCAAGACUGGUUAGCUAGAGUCUUGUAGAGGGGGUAGAAUUCCAUGUGUAGCGGUGAAAUGCGUAGAGAUGUGGAGGAAUACCGGUGGCGAAGGCGGCCCCUGGGACAAAGACUGACGCUCAUGUGCGAAAGCGUGGGGAGCGAAACAGGGAUUAGAUACC